CGGUCGACGCUCUCUCCCAUUGAAGCUUAUGACGCUGUUUGCUCUUCUCAGUAGCUCACAACUUUUCUUCCCUCCUUCUCCAGCUUGCAGUGGUCUCUCCGUUCUUCUCCACCUACGCAGAGUAACAAGGCUUCUCUGAAGUAGCCAAAAGUGUUUUUAAGCUGCUUCAGCAUUGAAGCUCGAAGAAAUCUGGGAAGGGAAAUGGGCCUGGAAAAGGAGGUAAUGGCUUUUGGAAGUCUAUUGGACUUGGAUUCAAGACACCCAGGGAAUCUAUUAUUAAAGUUGCAAAUCUGUUUUGGUGACGGAGCAAAUGUUGAGUGAAUGAGAUUAUUGUUUCUAGACAAUAAACAUAUCUACUUACUCUAGCCAUGAGAAUGUGAAUAGGAAAGAGCACAUUACUCAGCCACCUGAAGGAGUUUAAUAUCCCAAGAAGGUACUUCAGUUUUCUCUUUGCAUCUCAUGUUAUUUACUUUCCAAUUCAGAUUUAUUGAAUUAAGACAUGUUUGAUUAACUCACAAAGCUUGUUACUCUGCUAGUAUAUAUGAUCUGUGUUCCCUUUUUUGGCCUUUGGGCUUUCUUAGGUCAUAAAUUACAUGUUCUGUUAUAUUUGUGCUUGUUCAUUGAUUAUCUAUGAUUGGAAAAAAUUUAAUCUGCAGGGAAAAAUUACAGUAUAAGAUUCCAAGCUAAUGUAAGCAGACCAUUUUACGGGUCUUAUUCUUUUCAUUUUCUUUUUGCUCAUGGGAGACAAUGUUUUUAUGAAUGUUUACUUACCAUUUAGCUGCCCUUGAACCAGUUUUGAUCAAUAACUUAUAAAAGGAAACUGAAACUUUUUCUGUCUAGAAUUAUACAGCUGUAAUUUGGUUUUAUUUGACCCAGUAAUACACUUUAUAUAGUCUUUGAAGUUUGGUUUUAUUUGACACAAUAAUAUACUUUUUAUUUUCAGUAUUUUCUUGGCAAAUCAAAAGGUAGGGUCUCUUUAAGAUUUGGAUUAAAUAAUGAUGAGCCAAUGCGUUG